rnacentral:rRNA from 1 species
UACGGGGGGGGCAAGCGUUGUUCGGAAUUACUGGGCGUAAAGGGCGCGUAGGCGGCCUUCUAAGUCGGACGUGAAAUCCCUCGGCUUAACCGAGGAACUGCGUCCGAUACUGAAAGGCUUGAAUCCGGGAGAGGGAUGUGGAAUUCCAGGUGUAGCGGUGAAAUGCGUAGAUAUGACAUAGAACACCGAUAGCGAAGGCAGCUUGCUACACAAUUAUUGACACUGAGGCUCGAAAGCGUGGGGAUCAAACAGG